rnacentral:rRNA from 1 species
AUUGAACGCUGGCGGCAUGCCUUACACAUGCAAGUCGAACGGCAGCACGGGAGCUUGCUCCUGGUGGCGAGUGGCGAACGGGUGAGUAAUACAUCGGAACGUACCCUGAAGUGGGGGAUAACGUAGCGAAAGUUACGCUAAUACCGCAUAUUCUGUGAGCAGGAAAGAGGGGGAUCGCAAGACCUCUUGCUUUAGGAGCGGCCGAUGUCGGAUUAGCUAGUUGGUGAGGUAAAGGCUCACCAAGGCGACGAUCCGUAGCGGGUCUGAGAGGAUGAUCCGCCACACUGGGACUGAGACACGGCCCAGACUCCUACGGGAGGCAGCAGUGGGGAAUAUUGGACAAUGGGCGCAAGCCUGAUCCAGCCACGCCGCGUGAGUGAUGAAGGCCUCGGUCGUAAAGACUCUG